GCACCCCUAGCUCAACGGAUUAGAGCAUCUGACUACGGAUCAGAAGGUUAGUGGUUCGAAUCCACUGGGGUGCACCA
rnacentral:tRNA from 2 species